UACGGAGGGUGCAAGCGUUGUUCGGAAUUACUGGGCGUAAAGCGCGCGUAGGCGGUGUGCUAAGUCAGAUGUGAAAGCCCUCGGCUUAACCGGGGACGUGCAUUUGAAACUGGCAGACUUGAGUACUGGAGGGGGUGGUGGAAUUCCCGGUGUAGAGGUGAAAUUCGUAGAUAUCGGGAGGAAUACCGGUGGCGAAGGCGACCACCUGGCCAGAUACUGACGCUGAGGUGCGAAAGCGUGGGGAGCAAACAGG
rnacentral:rRNA from 1 species